rnacentral:tRNA from 1 species
GGAGGGCUGGCCGAGUCAGGCAAGGCACCGGUUUGCUACACCGAGGUCCGGGUGACACCCGGCGCGCGUUCGAAUCGCGCGCCCUCCG